AACGAACGCUGGCGGCAGGCUUAACACAUGCAAGUCGAACGCCCCGCAAGGGGAGUGGCAGACGGGUGAGUAACGCGUGGGAACAUACCCUUUCCUGCGGAAUAGCUCCGGGAAACUGGAAUUAAUACCGCAUACGCCCUACGGGGGAAAGAUUUAUCGGGGAAGGAUUGGCCCGCGUUGGAUUAGCUAGUUGGUGGGGUAAAGGCCUACCCAGGCGACGAUCCAUAGCUGGUCUGAGAGGAUGAUCAGCCACAUUGGGACUGAGACACGGCCCAAACUCCGACGGGAGGCAGCAGUGGGGAAUAUUGGACAAUGGGCGCAAGCCUGAUCCAGCCAUGCCGCGUGAGUGAUGAAGGCCUUAGGGUUGUAAAGCUCUUUCACCGAUGAAGAUAAUGACGGUAGUCGGAGAAGAAGCCCCGGCUAACUUCGUGCCAGCCGCCGCAGUAAGAC
rnacentral:rRNA from 1 species